GAUGAAGAACGUAGCGAAAUGCGAUACGUAAUGUGAAUUGCAGAAUUCAGUGAAUCAUCGAGUCUUUGAACGCACAUUGCGCCCCCUGGUAUUCCGGGGGGGAUGCCUGUCCGAGCGUCAUUGCUGCCCUCAAGCACGGCUUGUGUGUUGGGCCUCCGUCCUCCUCCCGGGGGACGGGCCCGAAAGGCAGCGGCGGCACCGCGUCCGGUCCUCGAGCGUAUGGGGCUUCGUCACCCGCUCUUGUAGGCCCGGCCGGCGCUUGCCGACACAUCAAUCUUUUUUCCAGGUUGACCUCGGAUCAGGUAGGGAUACCCGCUGAACUUAAGCAUAUCAAUAAGCGGAGGA
rnacentral:misc_RNA from 1 species